UCGGGUGUGGUGCACGGUGCACAACUGUGUUACUUCGACGGUUUCCACAGAUUAGAGGCAGAGAGCCGGGGUUCGACUCCCCGCACCCGAA